rnacentral:rRNA from 1 species
UAAGACAUAGUAUAAAUAAUGUUUUCCGUUUACAUUGGAAGGAUGGCCUGGGUUUCGUGGUCUGUUUUAAUAGGUAACAAUUUGAUUAGUGUUAAUAUUGCUUUAUUUAAAGUAAUGGCUAGGUGGAGUAGCUUGUAGUUAAAUGUAAAAAUGAUGCCAUAUAUUUAUUUUGAUUUUAAGAUUUUUUUGUAAGAAGGGUUUAGUUUGUGUAGUGCUAGCCAGAAUGGUGGUGAGGGAUUUAGUAAGUUGUAUUGAAAGGUUUAUUAUGGUGAUGAGAUGGAAUUAGUACUGAGGGGGAAGCGUGUUAAGAUGGAAAUUUUUUUAUAGUAGAGUUUAAGCUUUGUACCUUUUGUAUCAUGGUCUUUUUAGUGAUUUGUUUGAAAGGGCGGGUCCCGAAAAGAAGAGAGCUAUUUUUUACCUAAAGAGAGAUGGCUGUUGCAAAAGUGUCUUGAGAGUAAAAAAUAGGGGUGAUAGGCCUGUCGAGCUUUUUGAUAGCUGGUUGACUGAGAAAGGCAUGUUGGUGCUACUGUGCCCAGUUAAAGCUUAUUGAGUGAUGGAGGGCUAAUGUUUUUAUCCUGCAGUAAGUGCAUUGAUAGGGCCUAUUUAGUGUAAGCUUGGGUUCGGGGUGUUGUUGUUAGGAUGUGGGGUGCAUUGUGGGCGUGAGGGGUAAGCUCUUGCGUUGGUUGUCAAAAUGGGUUAGAUAUAUUUGUUGGUUUAGUAGGCUUAGAAUUGGUCAUCUUUAUAGAGGUUUUGCAGAAGUAAUUGGCUGUGUUAAUGGUCGAAUGUUUAUAUGUGUUGUUUGAUAGUUGUAUUGGUUUGUUGAAUUUAAUUUUUAAAGUUUAGGAAAUUCUGGAAGAAUGAGUAUUAUAUAAAUUUGUUUUAUGGGUUAAAAAAUGGGCAUGAGGCCUUAUAGGUUUUAUUGGCCUUGAUUAACUGUAGUUAGAUUUAGGUUUUAGUAAUUCAUGAAAAGGAACUCGGCAAAUAUUGGCCCCGCCUGUUUAUUAAAAACAUGGCCCCCUGUAGUGCUUAGAUGGUGGGUCUGGCCUCCCCAGCGACUGUCUGGUUAAACGGCCGCGGAAUAUUAACUGUGCGAAGGUAGCGUAAUAAUUUGCCUAUUAAUUGUGGGCUAGUAUGAAUGGUCUGACGAGGGUUAAGCUGUCUCUUCAUGAUAUAUUUGGAAAUUAUUUUUUAGGUGAAGGUACCUAAAUAUUACUAAGGGACGAUAAGACCCUGUCGAGCUUAAGCGGAAUUUUAGGUGUGACUGAUCAAAUUUGAAAUUGGUUUAAUUAUUGCUAAAAUGAAUUUUUGACUGGGGCGGUCAGGGAGUAGAAAGAACCUUCUGUUUAAUGUAUUUGCUUUUUGGCAUGUGAUCUAGCUUGUUGCGGAGCAUAAGAAAAAGUUACCGCAGGGAUAACAGCGUAAUUUUUUUGGAGAGUUCUUAUUGAGAAAAAAGUUUGCGACCUCGAUGUUGGACUAAGGUGUCCUGAAGGUGCAGAAGCUUUCAAGGGUUAGUCUGUUCGACUAUUAAAACCUUACGUGAUCUGAGUUCAANNCGG